rnacentral:piRNA from 1 species
UCGGUCCAGAGACAAGGGAGUGACACCUGC